rnacentral:rRNA from 1 species
AGUGAACGCUGGCGGCAGGCCUAACACAUGCAAGUCGAACGGCAGCACAGGGGAGCUUGCUCCCUGGGUGGCGAGUGGCGGACGGGUGAGGAAUACAUGGGAAUCUACCCUGUCGUGGGGGAUAACGUAGGGAAACUUACGCUAAUACCGCAUACGACCGAGAGGUGAAAGCGGCGGACCGCAAGGCGUCGCGCGACUGGAUGAGCCCAUGUCGGAUUAGCUAGUUGGCGGGGUAAAGGCCCACCAAGGCGACGAUCCGUAGCUGGUCUGAGAGGAUGAUCAGCCACACUGGAACUGAGACACGGUCCAGACUCCUACGGGUGGCUG